UACGGAGGGAGCUAGCGUUGUUCGGAAUUACUGGGCGUAAAGCGUACGUAGGCGGCGUAUUAAGUCGAAUGUUAAAGCCUGAGGCUCAACCUCAGAGAUGCAUUCGAUACUGGUUUGCUAGAGGGUGAUAGAGGAAAGUGGAAUUCCCAGUGUAGCGGUGAAAUGCGUAGAUAUUGGGAGGAACAUCAGUAGCGAAGGCGAUUUUCUGGGUCACACCUGACGCUGAGGUACGAAAGCGUGGGGAGCAAACGGG
rnacentral:rRNA from 1 species